GGGGGGGUGAAUUGGGUUUUAAAAUAAUUUUGCAAUUAAAACGUUUGUGGAUGACUAAUUAAUACUUUUGCAAGAUGAUUAAUUAGUUGUUAUGUGCUGUGAGUGAAAUGAGAGUGAGAGAAAGAGACACAAGCAAUCACAAACACAAUAUUUAUAGUGGUUCGGAGCUAACCCUUGCUCCUACGUCCACUCCUCAAGUCUCACUUGGGAAUUCACUAUAACCCCUUGGAUUACAGCCGGUUGUUUUACAAGCUCACAACCCAACUUGUUGUUUUACGAGCUCACAACGAACUCGGUCGGUUUUCCCAGGCUCACCGACU
rnacentral:lncRNA from 1 species